GUACAGCACAAGUGCUGAGGGAUAGUUCUGUUUCAUGCUUGAAAGGAGGAAUGUGUCAUACAAAGCACACUUUGUACUGAGCUGUGGGAAAAGAGGUGAAUGGGAGGCGAAACCAGAAGCUUUAAGAGCAGUUCAAAAUGUCGCUUCCUCUCUGCCUGUCUCUGGGGGCACUUCUGAAUGAAUGAAGAAACUGCACAAAAUGAGACACACACAAAGCUGGGAGAGCUUUUGGAAGAAAUCUCUUCUCCUGUGGCUCCCACCUCACUGCAAGGGCAGGUAUCUUCCCAUCAGGCAGAGCUUGUGCUAGGCAUUCUGCCCCUUCCCUGCCUCUGCUUCCUUCUUGGAGAGGAAGCGAAGUGCUGGAACUACCACAGUAACAAAUACAGGGAAUUUAGUCCUGAAAACAACCUACCACAGGACUAGGAGAACAUUUGUGGGCAGCACUGGUGGCUGCACUCUUCUACAUAGGUGUAAGUGCUGAUGAUUUUCUUCUUGUGCUUUGCUGUCAAGAAAUGCGUAACUGGUACCUUUUGGAAAGCAAAAAAUGAAAUGCUCAAAGAAAAAGGACACAGUCUGUAGCAUUUGCCACCUUAAGAAGGAGAGGAAUCUUGUAUGGAAAGUUGGCACUGAACAUAAAAUUAAUUUAAGGAAUAUACUUGAGCACCCGUAAGGAACUGAAUGAAGAGGGAGCAGAAGAGAAGGUCCAGUCUAGUGGGGUCAGAAAGUCUUUGUGGUGAACUACUGCUAGAAGAAAAAGCGGAAUUCAACUUCUGUAAAGGAAAUUAAAACGCACCACGGUGACCCCACAGCUUCCCUUACGUGGCACCACGCUCUGAACAGAGGGGACUCCUUAUGCCAGGAAGAACAAUCUGGUGACUCACAAGAUGGUGUUCUGCAAUGUACGAAAUAAGGAGUCCCUCUGCAUAAGGAACCAUAAACUACCAUUUAUGAUGCCUGUGAAGGAGGGAAAUGGAAUAUCUCUGUAGAAGAGUCAAAAAAGACACGACAGCACUGAUACCACUGGCAGCCAACACAGACAUCACAGUGUUACAGCUUGAGAAACUCAGCUGCCCUGAGGUGAGUGAGAACAAACCAGAGUUUCUGACAGUAGUGCAAACCUGCCUCUGGAGGAAGGGAACCUAUCCCACUAAUUAAAGAGUUCCAGAGGCCUGACCAGGAUUCCUUGAGCUUGACAGAAAGGAACAGGGAUGCUGCUGCCACGCCCUCACUACAAGCCCUUGACUAGGGACAACAAAAUGGUUUCUGGACCAAUCUGUCAUUUCCCUUAGGAGGCAUCAGCUGAGCUUGGACUGGACUCUGGUACAGCACUCACCACAACUGUACAUUGUACAGAAUUACAUAAAAACCAUUUUUAAAAAAAAUUUGUUGGGGAAAUCGGAAUCAGAAAAUUCAGGACUAUCUGUUCCUGCCUCUACUAUAGAACUCCUAUGUAUCAACCUAAUUACUCCAAUCAAAGUGCUCCUAAUUUUCUAAUGUCAAAUAUUUGCUAGGUCAUUCUAGGGAGCUGAAACACUGAGGACUUCCAUGUGGCAGCUGAAGUUUGACUAUAUGUGUCUAUACGUACUUCCUCAGAAAUGGUGCUGGUAUUGACAUCCAAGCUGGCUCAUUUUCAACUGAUUCUGAUAAACCUGCAGUGUUAUGUACAUUUAUGUACAAAUAAUGUGUAAGUGUCUAUACACAUGUACAUUGAAUCAUAGAAUUGCCUGGGUAGAAAGGAACCUUAAAAGACCAUCUCGUUCCAACCCCCUGCCAUGUGCAGGGACACUUUUCACUAAACCAGGUUACUCA